CUUACGCGAAUUUAUAGUUCUCCGUGGGUCGCGUUGAUUGUGGCGUCGCCAAAAGCGGCCAGGCACCAACGUGGCUGUCCUUAAGCGAGAUGUGAUUAUCGCCUGGGAUAUCUCCUCGGCGGUGCGAACCACCCCACUCGCUGAUUAUGGAAUAGUUUUUCAUUCUUUAGAGUAGAAAACCCUUUAUCAGAGAAAACACAUCUGUCCUUGAAAAUUGUAGCCCUUCAAAGCAAACGACACAUGGUUGUUGGCCUUAUUUUACCAGCAUUACCCUCCCCGGCUAGCAAUAGAAUGAUUAGCAUUAGAGUGACUGUAAGUAGGCCGUCGUAUUCAAUGAAGCUUUUAGCUGCCGCAGCAGACUACUUCAAUUCUCAAUAUCGGGGUGACUCAUCUGAUCGCGGCGUUCAAUUCUGCCCCUGUACUUUUUUUGCCACUGACAGUCACACCUCCGUCAUCUAUUUCUGUACCGCUACUAGUUGAGGGCGAUGAGCUGGACAAACCUUUACGGGGCAAAGACGAAGUCGACGCUCUGCUUGUGAUCAAUCGAGGGUCAACCGUUCCAGAAAAAUUCGGAUUUCAUUGCUGGGUGGUGGGGAAGUUGGAACAUAUUCGUCCGAUUGGUCACGAGAAUGGCUGCUAGUUCACAGCCACGGCCGCCUCCCUCAUCUCUGGACGAUGAAGCCUUUGCUAAACGGCUGCGAAGUUCAUACGGAGCUGCAGCACUGGGCGCAGCUAGGCGGUAUCACGACUUCGGUAUUCAGCUAGCAGAGUACCUUGAUAAGGUUGCCUUCUUGAGUCGAUGUAUCAAUGUUCGCCUCAUACCAAAAAAUUAUAAGCUUCAAAAUGACCAGGUGCAGAAUACAGCAAAAGUAACGACAGUUUUGAUGAAGUAUUCGAAAAAACUGAUGAAAGUCGACUUGGAUCAUAACCGGCUUCGAAAGGAACAGGUAGAAAAAAACCUCGAACGGCUGAUGUACAAAAUGAAAAAGAUCAUCAAGUGCCGAGAUGACCUCAAGCUAAUUCACUCGAUUUGCCACAGAGACCACGAAACUGAAUUGAAGAAGCUGCAGAAGAUUAGCCGUGCAGAAUUUCGGGAAUUGCUUGCUCAAUACCGUAAACCAGUGAAGUAUACUGACCUGGCAUUUAGUGAUGAGGAACGCCCGAGGGAUCCUGAUUCAUCGACGACCGAUAGCGAUUAACUUCUUGAGUUCACCCAGCUGUCUCUAGAUCUGUAGCUGUUCAAAAACAGCAGGCACUCUUCAAGAAGACGGAUGAACCUUGAGAGGACGCAGGAGAACAUCAUUGUGUGCUCACGAUAAGAAACGACGGGCAUCAGAUCAUGCGGAGCCUUUUAGUCCAUCGAUAAGCAGGAGGUAGCGGCGGGUAUCGCCAAUUGAGAUUAGAAGGAUCCAGGCUAUGAAACUUGGAGCACUGAGCAAUAAAAAACUCAGGCAGCCCCCAUUUAAGCGAACUUAUAUCAACUUUCAAACCACCCGAGAGUCUGGCUGCAAUACACGAGAGACUAGUCGAAAGUUGAUGGCUGCCAGAGCCGGAGCUGACGGCUAGCGAGUAUGCAGGGAUUGCUUUACAUGUUCAUGGCUGCUAACUACUUCAAACAUUGCACUCCUCCUGUCGCUUUUGAUGUUGAGGCAAGAUUCAACCGCAAUGCUCUCUAUCCCAGGAAGACGAUGGUUUGCGGGGCUUUCAUACGCUACGAAAUACUGUUCCGGAGAAGACAGCGUCGAGUGAGCGAGGCUGUCUGGCAACACCGGCGGCCUAAUAGAUCUCACAAAAUCAUUUUUCUCCGCGACAACGCUACGCUGCACAUGACAAAGAUUGUGAAGCGCUCCCUGCAAAAGCUUAAAUAUUAUGCUGCCUGCCUUUGACCAAGAGGCAAGCGUUUUGCUAGAAUGUAUGUGGAAAACUGCAGGUCCUUUAAUACGGUUAUAGUUUUAUAAUGCGAGAACUUUGGCUAUGGGUCAGGUAAAACUAGUUUUAAGGUACUAAACUGUCUCGACUGAAUGACUAUACUUUCAAAAUACAAAUGCGAACAUUGAGAAUCAGCAAAUACGCAAGCAGAGAAAUGGGCGUAUAUUCUAAUCACUAUUCUUGGUACUUUGUUUUGACAUCCCUUAAUUGAGCUGCUAGUUUGCUUAAACAGCAAUAGAACCUCAUUAGGAGGGUAUUAGCAUAAUUAUUAUACCGUACCACAACAAAGUGACUGGGCACAUGCGAUGUGAAGCAGCAAUUCCGUGUCGUCGUUGCGAACAUUCAGGUACGAUUGUAUGGACGUACAUGUACGGAACAAAAAGCUCGUAUUCCUUAUUUUUCAUUUUUCGUACGAACGAUGUUAUCCGCAUCCACUAGCAGAGAGGUGAUUUUUUUUAAACUAUUGCCCAAAAUUCGACUUCGUAAUUGCCUUCGUUCGAAAGAAACCAACUCAUUCCAAUGAAGCUAGCUUUUUAAAAAUCCCGUCCAAACAGGUACGUGUAGCAAAGGCACUUACAUUUGUUUUUGUUUCACCAUAUAUUUAAGAAUAAUAGACCCGAUUUUGGCCAGAAUUUCUAUAUUAGCUGAAACUGCACGUGAUACUCGAAAGUUUCCCUGAAUUCGCAUAUAUAGUAUGUGUGUUAAUACAUUCCUCAUUAUGACAGCAUGCCACAUAUACUACCAAUAUAUAUUCACACAGCAAAGGGUAUUGGUCACUUCCUUAACUAGUGUCACCCGGUAGCUUGACAAAUGUUGGGCCGCCCUUGGAUUGUGCUGCUUUAGGUUCUCGUGGCCCAACUCGUCCCACGCGUCGGCGUCGAGGCUUAUUUAUCACAUAGUGAUUUCCAAGGUAUUUCUGCUCAAUUGAGUCCUCUCAGGUGGAUAAGGUUGACUUCAAAUAAUCUUUUUACCGUUCAGUGUUGGCUUAAACAGCAAUUGGCUUAACUGUAGUUUUAACGGCGCACCGUUGUGCUAUGAAGUUUUUUUUGUCUAUUUCCUGUUUAUGUCCGGUUAUACGAUAGAACAGCGUUGUAUCUUAAGUCAUAGCAUUUAGAUCUCGAUUGCCUACAAAUUUUUUCCUGUUGAAUUCUACGGUCGAUUUGAACGUUCUCAAUCAAUUUAGAUUAAUACGUACGUAUAUUUAGUGUUUUUACUUAUUAAUAAGGUAAUUAAAUCUAAAGACAAACAAGGCCUAUGGCGUUCCUGCUAUAAGCCCCCAUAUUUCCACAUCCACCGAUUGUACAGCGAAUCACGCGACUCCUACUAGCCUUCUACAGUCGUCCACAGUUCUUCGAUAAAAUGCACGGUAUUGGAUAGACUCCACCUCGGAAUUGAUUAACUGGAUUAGAGUUAUCGUACGACAGACCAUACGCUGUUAGGUUGUGCGCGACGGUUGAAUUUAUCUGUUGUUGUGGGCCAUCGAUUUUCUCCAAUUCGGUACAUACACAUCCAGUAUGGGACUACUAGGCAGCUGGAAACAUGGAGUUGAAACACUACCACUGACUCCCAUUGAAAUGACCCAACAAAGUUAUCUGAUUAUGAGCCUUUUGGUGGAUUGCUGUCUCCGUCGAUGUCUGGUGCCGAGGGGGCAGAAGUUUAUCAGAGAAGCGCCAGAGCUAUCCAAACAAAUCGAUUUCAUGCACAGUUCCAUGGUGCAGUCCGCUGUGGUUACGUUCCGCUUAAUCAUAUCGCUAGUCCAACGGUUAGUUUGGCAACGAUUAAGGCGGCAUAGUUACCCUGACCUUAUACUUAGUCGAUCCAUGCUUUAGCUAUGAGAUCUAGUGGAAGGAUCCGCCAUAGGUGAAUUUCUUCUGCAUACAACACGUUGCGACCACAACAGACGGAUAGGCGGGUACAAGUGGUGGAGUUCGUGCAGCAUCUAACUUCGCCCUUUUCCGAUUUCUAGCUAUAUACAGUGUUGUUCGCGUCGCCUCGAUGCCCUCAAUCGUCUGCGUAACAUCUCCAAGGGCGCCGUUCGCAAACCGUUUGCACGAUAAAAGUGGGCUGAAAGAUCGUCCAUUGUCUUGGAUGCACCCGCCUUUUACCUUUAGAAG